UAAAAUUAUGUAUCAGAAUUCAGAAGGUUGAUUUCUGACCUUAAAUACUGCACAGGAAUAUGUCAUUGUUUCAUCCAAGAACAUAGAAAACAUCUCAUUACUCUAUAGACACAAAACAAGAAAAGGAACAUAAGCUUUUCAUCAGAACUUCUGAAACUAAAAUGGAGUACCGCUUUCAUGAAAACAUGCACAUAUGCACUUGCUUUAUAAAAUUGUUGUUUCAUUGUACAUACAUUUUCAUCUGACUUAGUGACUCAUCAACCUCCAUUCAUAAUUCCUUUCCAGACAUUCAAACAUCAAAACAGAUGGAUGGAGGAGAAAGUUAUAAUUAAUACGAUCGUACCAGGUCAUAAUGACGAGAGAUAUUCCUGCGGGCCUGAGUAAGAGAAUUUUUCCUUGAAACAUGCCGAAAGAAAAAUUUUGCAGAUGCAAUACUAGCUGUGACAAACAUUGGUGUCCACCAACCCCUACACCAACAGAUAGAGAAAACUCUAUUACAAAUCACUAAUUCGGGAAACAUUGGCUAGUACUAUUAUAUUCCCAGAGUCAGUUAUGGGGGCAUACUUUUUCUUAUUGCGUUCUGAUACAGAUAUAUUAGCAUCUCUAUUGGCAAUGAGAACCUGCAGUUUAAAUUAUAUGUGGAAGACAGUUCACUGAAAGUUCAAACAAAAAGAUACACUUCAACGCAGGACCAUGAUCAAUUGGCUCACCAUGAAAAGUUUUAGAAGACCUUCAUCUUUGUCAGGAAAUGAAAUAUCACCACUGAUAUAUGCAUCUGCUAGGCCUAAAUCAGCCUGUGUCAUUAUCUGUGACAUUUUUAUUGCUUGUCAGUGAUGGUAAUUUUUUGCACAUGCUACAUUUGAUUUACAACCAGAUGCUUCGAGUUUAAAGUUUUGCAUAUUAACGAUAAAUGACACCAUGUUUCAUCAAGGUCAUGUGAAUCCUAUAAAAUGAGAUAAGAAAAGCACAUACCUUCCAAUAAAACUGGAGAUUGUGAACUUUCAGAAUAGAUUUAGGGAAAUACUUUUUAACGGUGCCCUGAAAGGUAAAAAUUGUGCCUCCUUCCUCCAAUAAACUGUCAUACCACAAUUUACAUCUAUCAAUUUCUCCACAUAAUAUUAAAUUUAGGUCAACAGCAUAGCAUGGGAAAAUAUCAGGUAAGCAGACUGUAUGAAUGAAGUUAAAUAGUAUGGUGAAGUGGGAUUGAGUUUUAUUACCGCUAGAAAAGGUGCAACUCAAAAUCUAGUAGUAAUUGCAGCAUGGGAAAGAAAUUUAUAGAGGCAUAGAAAAAAUAAGUUAUUUUCUGCAACAUUUACUUUAAAAGCCCAAGAAAACAGAUUCUUAAUAACAUGUGUAAUGCAAAUUCAGCGAUGUAAAAGAUGUAUGACGGCUAAGGCUUAUAUUAGAUGUACGAACUUAGAAGAAGACAGAAAUAGAAGUAACUGUGAAUAAUGUAUAAAAGUACAUUAUCUUGGGAAGCUCGCUAAGUUGCAGCAACAUGGAAAAUAAUGUAGAUCAAAGUUGAAGGGAUUCGUAGUACAAUAGAAAUGAAAUAAAGAAAUUCUCAAGACAGUGAGAGACAACAUGGCAGUUUUGUAAUUCAACAGAUAGCAUAAUUCAACAAUAGAAUGCAAAAACCAGCCAAGUGAUAUGAGAAAGGAUAUGAUUAUCUUCAUAGGUGAACUCACAUUAAACAGCCAGUAGAGAUAUAUUUUCCGAGAAAUCUAGUGACAAAGAGGCGCGCCCCAGUUUCUAACAGAGAAGGUACCAUAUGUUUUGGAUUGCUCAGAAUAGUACAAUGUCUUUCAAGCAAACUAUGGGCAGCAACCAUGCCAGACUGCAAGGAAACAACCACCUCAAUUCUUAGUUGUAGAACGCCCAUGAAUUACUAAAAUGAAAAGGAGAAGCAGAAAAGGCAGUAUAAGUUUUAUUGUCAGUUCCCCAGUUCCAAAAAUAAGAGAAAUAAAUAAAAAUUUCCAAUACAUUUUCCAGAGAACCUGUUUUCUCAAGGAUAUAGUUUUCAGGUGGAGCAAAUACAUAUUUGGUUCCAUUGCAACCCAGAAGUAAAGUCAUUUAUAUACCUUAAGAAACUAAUUCAAGUUAUGAUUAAGAAAAAUGAGGAGCACUUAUUAGUACCUUCAGUCCAUCCUCAUAGAAGCCAUAACCUGAAAAAAGAAAAUGUAACGUAGAGGACGCAAUUGAUGAAUUGUAAUGAAGCUAAUUCGGAAAUCCAAAAUGUAAAUAUUCCUGAAAAUCUAAGGUAAAUUCUCAUGGACAUUUAACACGAAUUAAAUCCAGUAACUUACCCUGGUAUGCUCCGCAAAACCAAAGUCCUCUCCUUCCUUGAAUAUGUACAAAUUCAAGUGAAGCUUUUGAUGCAGCUAAGGAUAGGACUGGAUGGCUUGCCGUCCACUUCAGUAAGGUAUGUUCUGGUGUAUGAUCUGGAUUGAGUGUCACCAGAAAAGGCGGAUUUGUUUCACCAAGAUUCUACAAGAGUUGACAGCAUUAAAAAAGUCUAUGGGUAUAUUUCACUUUCGAUUCUGAAUUGAGUUCUGGAACCAGCAAUACACUUCAUCUCCUCUAAGAAAACAUGUUACAAACCUGAAUCACAUUAAGCCAGUAUGUAAGGCAUAAUUUAUUGUUUGUACUUCCUAAAAAAUUCCAUGCACUCCAUGCCGCUGGAAUUCGGGGCAUAAAUUUUUUAUCGCAGUGAAGAAAGAUUUCACUGAAAUCAAGAGUUGAAGAAUGUAAUGCAUACAUAUAUUAUACAUCCAAAAGCAAAUGAUUGAGAAAGAAGCAGAAGAGUAAAAGCUUGUACUUAUGCAUAUACUGGAAAGCACCAAGUAGUCUUUUUUCAUCAAAUGUUGCUUGGUUUCCUAAUAGUUUCAAAGCAUCUGGGGAAUGAACAGCAAUUAUGCACCUACUGAACUGUUCUUCAGAACCAUCUCCGCAUAACACUGUGCAACCUGUUAAGAAUUCUCAAGUUAUAUAUAUAGGAAACAGCAUUAUUGCUUGAAUAUAUAAUAUUUCUCAUUGCCAAGAUUUCUUUACCCUUUUCCUAAGAUAUGCGCAUUUUUUGUAUUUAUAGAAUAUACAUCAUAGUUACAUUUGUAUAAUGAUUUUGAGAUUUAUUAUAAAACUUUGGAUGUAUUUAAUAUUGUGAAAUUCUUCUUUUUCUCUUUUUGAAACUUUAAUAUUGAGAAAUUCAUUUGCUUUGCUCCAGUAAAAUUUGGAUAUUUGUUAUAUUUAGUUGGCCAAUUUGCAAUGAAAAUUAUAAAAAGUAUUUUAUUUAUUUCAGAAUGACUUGAUAUUAUUAUAAUAUGGACUAUAUUCAAAGUUAAUUAGCAUUUAAAAAAACUAAAUAUAUUAAAUCAUAAUCCUUAAUUAUAAUAAAGCAUAUAGUUAUUAUAAUAAACGUUAGAAAAAAAUAUAAAAUAAAUAAAGUAAAAGCUUGAUAAAUUUAAUUAUUUUUAAUAUUAUAGUUUUUAUAAUUCUGUAAUUAAAUUAUUUACUAUUUAAACUGGGAAGGAAUUAAUUAAAAUCGUAAUAAAUUUAAAUAUUAUAUAUAUAUAUAUAUAUAUAUGAGCGUGCCGGGUUGAACUCUUGGUGGUAAAAUAUUUCUUUAAGAGUUUUUGACGGUGUGGAGUUCAAAACUAAAUCUCUAAAUCAAUUGUGAAGUAAUGAUUAGAGGCAAAUUGGGAAUAAUUUAAGCCUUUGCCAGAUGUAAUUACAGAUACAUCAAAUUCAGGCAACGCACUUCUAUUUUUUGUUAGACUGUAAGGAAAUGUAAUUCUGGAAUUGUAUAUAAUAGAUUAUUAUGAUAAUACUGAUGCUAAAAUCAGUCGGUGAUUUUUGCAUUAUUUAUUUUUAAAGAAAACUUUAUCCGUAUAUUUAAUCCAGGGAUUUGGGUAUGACACUUUUUUUAGCAUCGACCAGAUUUUUAUUUUCCAAUGACAUUAAGUUUUGAUAAUACAUAUAAUGUCCACAAAAAAAAAAAAAAAAAAAACAGAAUUGCUUAAUGUAUUCAGCAAUUUAAGUUCAGAAAAUUAAAACUUAAUACUAGUGCUUACUUUUAUCAUCCGUGGAAACAGAGUGUAUCUCACAUCCAGUUCUUAUUGUACAGCCAUAAUUUUCCAGUUUUUCUCUGACCUGAUUUAUUUGCUUCUAUAAUUUAGUAGAAUUUUUCUGAAAAGAUUAUUCAGAAACACAGAAACAAAGGAGAUCUGCAACAUUCUGAACGAUUCGGCAAAUACCUUGUUUACAUAAGAAUGUGAUCUAUGUUUCACAGUAAGCCAUUGUGGGUGGCCAAAGAGCUGCGAAAGAAUCGAGCUAUAUUUCAUCAAAGUUUUGAUAGACCAAAUUCUUAAUAACUUUACAUCACUAACGAUAUAAAUAUAUAUUUAUUUUACUUCUUUCAGAAAGAACUUUUACCUCAAAUAAAUGAUGAUUACGGCAAUAUGAGAGACUAGAGUAGGCAGAAAAACUCAUAAUCUUUUCUGAAGGACAGGACCAUAUUAAACCACAUAUUGGAACCUAUACUGAAAAUUUGGUUAACAGGAUUCAAACAAAAACGAAUUAUACAUUUGAUAAAUUGUAAGAAAUUUCUCACCAGAUAAGCCUUCUGAAAUAACUCAGAAUAACCCCGUGACCUAAUAAAGUUCUCCAAUGUUUCAUUUCUGUCAAUGUCGGGAUUGUUCUCAAGCACCUCGAGAUAACUGAGACAAAGAAUUACUUGUCAGGAUUGUUUUUAACCUUGUGAUCACAUAGAAGCAAACCUUAGACAUUCCACUGCAUGCAUACUCAUUAAAAACUUAUAAUGAUAGUAAACUGGCUGACCUGAGGACAUCAUCCUUAAACUUGAUGAUUUCACGAAUCAUUUGCCAAAAGUAUGGAUUGAUCGCAUUCGUUUUCUGUGCAAACAAACCUGAAAGGCCAUUUCUGCUACCCCAUUCAUAACCUUUACCAUGGUCUAAGCUAACUGAGAAUGACAUAUCAGAUAACUCCAGAUCUACCCCAAGACUUUCAAAGAACUCUGUCAUAUUUGGAUAUGUUACCUGUUUAUUGAUUCAUGUCCAUAAUCAGUAUCUUGUAACUAUCAUACUGCAUUUGAGUAUAUGAACAGCACAUGAAUUACAGACUUUUUUGAGAUAAUGCCUUGGACCCUUUGGGCAAGUUAAUCUCACUGUUACUUUAAAUAAAAGAAACUUAAUUUAAGGAUGUUUUAUACUUUAGUUAUCAGAUAAAGUACGUAUGUGAAAUUUAGGAAGCUAGGUUAUUAAACCUGUGUACUUAUUUGUUAAAGGCAGCAAUGACCUUUAGAAGAGCAAGACUAUCAGUAUAUUCACAAACCCCUUUUCUUUUUAUUUUUGGUUAAAUUUAUUUUUCUUGAGCCCACUGGACUGUAAAAAUGGAGAAAAUAGGAGUAAAAGAGAACUAGAAAGGAAAAAUAGCAAAUGAAACGGAAGAAGGAAAAUGGUGACUUACACGAUUAAAGACCAUGAAACCCAAGUCUAACUCAACACCAUCAAAGCAGACAGUUUUAGCAUGGCCGCCAAUGUAUUCCUCUUUCUCGUACAACACAACCUUAACUCCAUUUCUUGCAAGAACAUAAGUUGACACAAGUCCGCUUAUUCCACCUCCAAUCACUGCAACUUUCAUUGUUUAAACUGAAAAAUAACUCCGGGCCGUUACUCCCCAAAAGAAAAUGCAAAUGAAUUAUUUGGAAUUUAGAAGAAAAUAAAAAGCACAGAAAUAAUUAACAUUCAUAUAACAUUUGGAACAUGCUAGAAAUCAUAAUAUCUUUUGUGUAAUAUAACACAAGUCUUCUUUGUUAAGGCUAUAUAUACUUGAAUUUUUUUGGCAAAUGUCACUAUUUUUAAUAUAUAAAUUUUUUUUAAUAUUUAUAUUUAUUUUUUUUACACAUAAAAUUUAAUUAAUAUAUAAUUUUAUAAUUUUUUUCAUUAAUGAAUCAGUAUUACUGUUAUUGGUUCAUUAUUUUUUUCAGUUUAUUUAUCUUUGCUUUUUUUUCUUCUGUAUCCAAUAGCUUGGCAUUUUACGUGGAAAUGAGGAUAAAAACGGAUAGGAGCGUCUUUUAGUUAGUAGGCCUAGUAUCUUUGGACCAACCUAAUAUCUAAAUUAAUAUUAGUAUUUUAAAUAUUUUUAUGUCGGUUUUUUAUUUUUAUUCCACGUAAUAUUAUUUAUUUAUCUUUACUAGUAUAGUCCUCAAAAAUAUAAUUUUGUUUGUUAAUUUUUCAUAUUAAAUAACUGAAUUUAUUUUCAAGUUUUCUAAUGUUUUACAUAUUUAAAAAUGGGUCCAUGUACUUUAUUGAACUAUGGCUGUGCUUGCUGACUUUUGAGCUAAUAUAUUAAAUGCUAUUUGGCGCAAUCUCGCCGACACGUCACACUCCCAUAAAUUAUUAGAUAGAUUUGGCGUAACAAAUCUUUUAUAAAUUAAGCUAAUUAUUAUGAGAUGUGGUAUCUUUUAUUAAAUAUUAUAUUUAUAUAGAUUGAUUUUUAAUUAUAAAUAGUAAUAAAAAAAUUAAUUAAUAUAAAUAUAAUAUUGAAUAAAAAAUACUAUAUAUCAUCAUAUAAUUAGUUUAAUCUAUAGAUGACAUGGCUGUCACGACCGGAUUUGUAGCCGGUGUCGGACACUAGAGAAUAGGUUGGUUUAAAGCCACCAAGAUCCGUAGUGAGUAUGACUAAUCGACAAUUCAAAUAUGCAUGUAUAAAUAUACUAUAAAAUCAACCCAACAUGCCAUUCACAAGUCUCUAACUAGACAUUAAUAAUAUUUCACAAUUUGUUAAAGACUAUAUUAAACAUAAUAUACCAGAUAUACUACUGCGAAGAGUCUAGAAUUUUAAACAAUUUAAAAUACAAAAAUAUAAAUUAAUUACAAUAGGCCCAAUGGAGAAGGAAGUCGGUCUGUCAAAAGCAAGACGGCGGAGAACCUAACUGUCACCUGAAAAAUUAAAAUUGAAACUGUCAGCCUCAAGAGCGAGUUAAAAUAAUCCUAUAACAAUUGUAGUCUCCUCAAUAAGAUAUUUAUUAUAUCAAAAUAACAUAUCAUAUUAUACUAAAACACAUGUCAUAUGCCAUAAUUCAGAAAAAAAUACAAUUCAAAUACUUAUGGGACAAGUGCCUCAGCAAAACUCUAACCUCAUUACUAGUAGCCUUUCGGCUCUCUUAUUCCAAUAGGUCUGGCGCCCAGAGAGCAAAGCUCAACCAGGGUCCUUAAAUCCAGCCUGGACACUUGAUUUCCAAAUAAGUCGGCGUUUAAAGAGCAACGUUCGACAAGGGACCUUCUUCCAGUAGUCAAACUUUCACAGCCUAGAGAAUUAUACUCAACUAGGACAAACCCAAAAAUAACAUUUAUUACAUGUCUCUGAUUAAUAUUGGUGUACACGCGGUCCUGAUACAACCCAUAAUAUGGCAAUGUUCUACUGCCGCCUCAUCCCCAUGUCACAAUCCUAGAAUCAAUAAUAAUUAUAAAUAAUAUAAUCAUAGGUAAAUAUAGUUUAUUCAAUAACAUAUUAAGAAUUUAAAUUUAAUAGUUUCGAGUAUAGUAAACAUGAAAAUCAGAUAUAAUAAUAAUAAUAAUAAAUUAAUAGUAAAAACAAUAAUGGUAAUAAUAUUAAUAAUAGUAUCGAUAAUAAUAAAAUUAAACCUUUUUAUAAUAAUAAUACUAAAAGUAAUAAUAAUUAUUAUUAAUUAAUUAAUAAUGCAUUUAAAUUAGACAUGACACAAAAGCAGUUGAUCAUAUGACUUUAACUCACAGUUCUGUCGCGCUCUGCAGUCUACGUAUAUACCUCAGGUGGAGCUGGCUGGAUGGACAGAUUAUCUAUUCACGAAAAUACUCAGUUAAUAAGAUAUUCUUAAUUUUUCCUAGAUCUAGACUCCUAGAAUAGAUUGCCUAAGAAAAUUCAGACUCAAAAAUUCUACUGAAAAUUCGGCAGAACCUCCUCUAAAAUAUAGAAGUUUACCCCUCGUAUAAUGGGUCCAAAACCUGCUAGAAACACUUCAAAUCUUCUGCAAUUAAUUAAUGGGAGUCAGGCCACCAAAACUACAUUAUUUUUUCGAACUCCACAAUACCCCACAUAUCACAAUUAUCUUACAGACGGUCCAACAUAAUAUUUAUUUCGACAAUCAACCCAUACAAAAUUUUCUGAUAAUUAAACUAAUUCAACACAACCACAUCUACCACAAAACAACACAAUAAUUAAUCAUACCAACUAAUUUGUAAUAUUAUAUUUAAGACAUAAUUAAUUAAAUCUAAUUAAAUUAAAUUAUCUAUAAUUAAUAAUUAAUAGCAACAAUAUUUUCUAAAAUUAUAAAAUAAUUUUUAAGGUCCAAAUAAAAUUAUACCGAGCAAAAAAUCUAAAGUUCAGCAUUCGGAAAACACCGGGUUCCGAAAGCCGAUACUGUCAAUGGUGUCUACUAGGGAAUGGGGAGGCUUAAGGCCACCAAAACCAGUAGUAAGCCUUACCGACCCAUAAAUCCAGAUAAUCAGUAAACAAAUAUAAUUAAUCAUGAAUACAUUCAUAAAUAAUUCUAUCAUGUUUUAAUAGCAUCGCACGUCCAAUAUGGACCAGGAUAAUCACGACAAUUUUAAAGUUCACUACUACGGAAAAUCUAGAGCAAAUAAUAACAAAAGUAUAGUAUUACAAGAUGAUUACAAAAGUCCGAGGAAGAAGAAGUCAGACUGUCAACAAUGCAGAAUGGCGAAGCACUUUAACUAUCACCUGAAAAAAUCACAACUGAGACUGUCACUCUCAGGAGUGAGUUAAAAUCAAAUAAUCUAUACACUAUUGUAAUCUUCACAGAAAAUAUCAAUUAUUUGAAUCAGUAUGACAGCCCUGAACAUAAAUACAAAUCAUAAUAUAAUCAUGCCAUAAUUUAAAUAAAUGAAAUAUAUUUUUUACUUUUACGGGACGAGUGGCUCAGUAAAAUCCUAACUCCAAAUUCUAGUAGCCUUUCGGCUCUCUUAAUCCAACAGGUCUGGCGCCCAGAGAGCAAAGCUCGACCAGGGUCCUUACCUCCAGCCUGAACACUUGAUUCCAACCAAGCCGGCGCCCAGAGAGUAUCGCUCGACCAGGGACCUUGCCUCCGGCCUGAACACUUGAUUCCAACCAAGCCGGCGCCCAGAGAGCAUCGCUCGACCAGGGACCUUACCUCCGGCAAUUUACUUAAAUCAGCCCAGAUAGCCAUGCUCGACCAGGGCAAAACUCAUCAUAAUCUUAUUACCUGUCCAUGAUUAUUACCAGUGCGCACGCGAUCCUGAUGUAACCCAUCAAGUGGCAUGUUCUACAAAAGCCACAUUCCCAACUUGCGAUCAUCACAUUUAAUAAUAAUCAUUUUCUAACAAAAUCAUUUAAUACAUAUUGAAGUAAAGACUAUAAAAUCUUAAGUAAAGCAUCAUGCAAUCUGUAUAGAAAAAUAAUAGUUUUUGUAUCAAUAUAACAUUACUAAUAUUAGUAAUUAAAUUAUUAUUAAUAAUUAUUAAUUGAAUGAAAUUAUUUAUAUUGGAAUACUAUUAAUCAUAUUGAAUGAGAAGGAAGGAAAAGGUGAAGGAGAAGGGAGGGGGAGGGAGGAAGGAAAGGAGAGAGAGGGAGGAGGGAAAAGAGAGAGGGGGGAUGGGGAAAAGGGGUUUAUAUAUAUAUAUAAAUUAUUGUUAUAAUAAAUAAGAGUAUUACAUUCUACCCCCCUUAGAAAAAAAUUCGACCUCGAAUUUUAAAACAUGAUUCACUUAGGAUUGAUAUAAAUGAGGGUAGAGGCUUCUCAUUUCCUGCUCGGUUUCCCAAGUACACUCUUCAGACAAAUGAUUCUGCCACAAAACCUUAACCAUCGGAAUAAUUUUAGAGCGCAGCUGGCGAACUUGAGUAUCCAUGAUCCUGACUGGCUGCUCCUCGUAAGUCAGAUCUUCACCUACUUCUACAAAUUGAGGUUGCAACACAUGCGAAGGGUCUGAAAUAUACUUCCUUAACAUCGAUAUGCGGAAUACCGGAUGCACGUGCGAGAAAUUCGGUGGCAAGUCCAGCUUGUAUGCCACAUCUCCAUUCUGUCAAUAAUCUCAAAGGGUCCCACAUAACGAGGCACUAAUUUGGCCUUCUUGUCAAACCGCAUCACACCACGCAUAGGAGACACCUUGAAGAACACAUAUUCCCCGACACUGAAUUCCAUGUGCUUCCGCUUUGGAUCCGCAUAACUUUUCUGCCUACUGAAAGCUGUCUUCAGUCGCUCGCUAAUAACCGAAAUCUUUUAUGAAGUGAUCUGAACUAACUCUGGUCCUGCUAACUUCCGUUUGCUAACCUCUUCCCAACAUACGGGAGAUCUACACUUCUGACCUUACAAAGCCUCGUAAGGUACCAUUUCAAUGCUUGCAUGAUAGCUGUUAUUAUACGCGAAUUCGACCGAUGGUAGAUACCAAUCCCAUUGACCACUAAAAUCUAUCACGCACAUCAGAAGCAUAUCCUCUAAAGUCUGAAUAGUCCUUUCUGAUUGUCCGUCCGUCUGAGGAUGGAAGGCCGUACUGAAGUCCAACCUAGUACCAAGCUCUUCUUGUAGUUUUUCCUAAAUCUUGAAGUAAACUGCGGCCCUGUAUCAGACACUAUGGAAACUGAAACGCCGUGAAGACUGACAAUCCUUUCUAGAUACACUCGUGCAUACUUAGCCAUAAAAUAGGUAGUCUUUACCGGGAGAAAAUGCACUGACUUAGUCAACCGAUCCACAAUCACCCAGAUGGAGUCAUAACCAGCGAAGGUCUUUGGUAAACUCGACACGAAAUCCAUAGUAAUCCUUUCCCAUUUCCACUCUGGUAUAGGAAGCGGCUGCAAUAACCCUGACGGCUUUUGAUGCUCCAACUUAACCUGCUGACACGUCAGACAUUUGGAGACAAACUCUGCUACAUCUCUCUUCAUCCCACUCCACCAAUAAUUUCCUUUCAAAUCAUGGUAAAUCUUUGUGGAGCCCGGAUGCACGCUGUAAGCUGUACAGUGAGCUUCUUCUAAAAUCUCCUUCCUAAGAUUAUCCACAUCGGGAACACACAGCCUAGAGCCCAUCAAGAGGGUGCCAUUAUCAUUUAUAACAAAGUUAUUAGCUCGACCCUGCUGCACAUCUUCCAAGAUUUUCUGUAACCGCAGGUCCCGAUUCUGAGCCAUCCUGAUUCUAUCAACUAGCACAGACCUAAUCCUAAAAUGUGCUAACAACACACCCGAUUCCAAUAUCUCUAUCUGUAGCCCUUGGUCGUACAGUUCAUGCAACUCUUUAGCCAGCGAUCUCUUCUCUGCACUGAUAUGAGCAAGACUACCUACCGACUUCCUGCUCAAAACAUCUGUUACAACAUUCACUUUACCUGGGUGGUACAAAAUAUUACAAUCAUAGUCCUUCAGAAGCUCUAACCAUCUCCUCUGCCUCAUAUUUUAUUUCUUUUGCUGGAAAAUAUACUUUAAACUCUUGUGAUUCGUAUAAAUCUCACACGUCUCCCCAUAGAGAUAGUGUCUCCAAAUCUUCAAUGCAAAAAUUACUGCUGCCAUCUCCAAGUCGUGGGUCGGAUAAUUCUGCUCAUGCUUCUUUAACUGUCUGGACGCAUAAGCUACUACCUUCCCAUUUUGCAUUAAGACGCAACCCAGACCCACUCUAGAAGCGUCGCAAUACGCCGUGAUUCCACUAGUGCCAGAAGGUAAGGUCAACAACGGAGCUGAAGUCAAACAGUCUUUCAGCUUUUGAAAGCUUCUCUCACACACGUCAGUCCACUGAAACUUGACAUUUUUCUGAGUCAGCUUAGUCAAAGGCGCUACUAUCUUCGAAAAGUCUUACACAAAUUGGUGGUAGUAGCCUGCCAACCCUAGGAAGCUGCGCACUUCAGACACCAAGGUCGGUCUCUGCCAAUCAGUCACUGCCUCCACUUUCUUGGGGUCCAUCUGAAUACCCUCUCAAGACACAACGUGCCCCAGAACUAGAGCUACUGUAGCAUGAACUCUAUCCACUACCACUGAAGCCCUGACCAGGUCUGAAUCCUCGGCUACUCCUCCGAUUAUGCCUACCCUUUCUAUGGAUACGGUGACUUCUCUGCUCGGUCUGCUAGUCGGUACCGCCAGAGUAACCUCCACUGCCGCAGUACGGCACGACAGGCUGCGCACUGGACUGAUCCUCAACCCUGGUCUUCUUCUUCCUACCAUCGUUAGUCCCCUGACCAAACCCUCGCAGCGACAUCUCCAUUUGUCUCGCCAUGUCAGUCACUUCUAGGAAGCUGCUCCUCCUAUACUGAACCAAGGAAAAAAACUCUGGACCGAGCCCUGAAAUGUCCUUGAUGUUCUUCUGCUCCUCGGUCCCUACAGCAUAGGGUGCAUACCUACUCAGCUGAACAAAUUGCCUGGUGUAUUCAGCCACUGAUAGAUCUCCCUUAACUAACCUUUCAAACCUCUCUCUGAACUCCUGCGUUAAACUAAAAGGGAUGAAGUGCCCUUCGAAUCUGUCUCUGAAUUACCUCCACGACAAACCAUCAAGAAAGGGGCAGAUAUAAUCUCUGAACCACUGGGAUGCUAUUCCCUUCAAGGAAAAUCCGGCCAUCUCGAUGGUCCUCUUGUCAGAACAGUGCAAAUCAGACGCCCUCUUUUCAACCUCACCCAAAAAGUCCAGAGGGUCUCCAACUGUCCCAUCAAACUCCACAGGUCUUAAAUUGGUAUACUCAGACAUAGGGACAUCGUCCGGAUUCCUGAUACCGGACCCACUAGCAUGGCUUCCUGCACCCUGGGCAGCCUGCUACUGCUGGAAGGCUAGCAACUGCUCUAAGGCCCCCUACAUCCCAGUCAUACUGGACACAAAAGCCUCCACUGAGAUUCCACCCGUACCAUGUACCUCCUGAGCCUCGCCCUGAUCUAGUUGGGCUGCUGCUCGAGGCCUACCUCACCUUCUAGUACCACGGGCUGGGUCCGGAAGAUCCGUUUGAGUAGAAAACUCAUCUUCGCCUUCCUGGGCCGAUGCUGCAGCUGCAGUCGCUCGGGUUCUCGGCAUGGCAAGAGCUGAAAAUAAACAACAAGCUAUUAAACCCAACAAACUCUCUAACGUACAACGCAGAUACUAGAAUCAACGAAACAUGCAAGGACAGACUCGAUUUCCCUAGUUUCCGCAGUAGUUUAGGAAGCUAACCUAGGUCGAAGGAAAACUAAACCUAAGCUCUGAUACCAACUUUUCACGACCCAUUAUGUGGGCCCGUGACCGGCACUAGGAAAUGGGUAGGCUUAAGGCCAUCAAAACCCGUAGUAAGCCUUACCGACCCAUAAAUCCAGAUAAUCAGUAAACAAAUAUAAUUAAUCAUGAAUGACAUUCAUAAAUAAUUCUAUCAUGUUUUUAUAGCAUCGCACGUCCAAUAUGGACCGGGAUAAUCACGACAAUUUUAAAGUUCACUACUGCGGAAAAUCUAGAGCAAAUAAUAACAAAAGUAUAGCAUUACAAGAUGAUUACAAAAGUCCGAGGAAGAAGAAGUCAGACUGUCAACAAUGCAGAAUGGCGAAACACUUUAACUGUCACCUGAAAAAAUUACAACUGAGACUGUCACUCUCGGGAGUGAGUUAAAAUCAAAUAAUCUAGAGACUAUUUUAAUUUUCACAUAAAAUAUCAAUUAUUUGAAUCAGUAUGACAACCCUGAACAUAAAUACAAAUCAUAAUAUAAUCAUGCCGUAAUUUAAAUAAAUGAAAUAUAUUUUUUACUUUUACAGGACGAGUGCCUCAAUAGAAUCCUAACCCCAAAUUCUAGUAGCCUUUCGGCUCUCUUAAUCCAACAGGUCUGGCGCCCAGAGAGCAAAGCUCGACCAGGGUCCUUACCUCCAGCCUGAACACUUGAUUCCAACCAAGCCGACGCCCAGAGAGCAUCGCUCGACCAGGGACCUUACCUCCGGCUUGAACACUUGAUUCCAACCAAGUCGGCGCCCAGAGAGCAUCGCUCGACCAGGGAUCUUACCUCCGGCAAUUUACUUAAAUCAGCCCAGAGAGCCAUGCUCGACCAGGGCAAAACUCAUCAUAAUCUUAUUACCUGUCCAUGAUCAUUACCGGUGCGCAAGCGGUCCUGAUGUAACCCAUCAGGUGGCAUGUUCUACAAAAGCCACAUUCCCAACUUGCAAUCAUCACAUUUAAUAAUAAUCAUUUUCUAACAAAAUCAUUCAAUACAUAUUGAAGUAAAGACUAUAAAAUCUUAAGUAAAGCAUCAUGCAAUCUGUGUAGAAAAAUAAUAGUUUUUGUAUCAAUAUAACAUUACUAAUAUUAGUAAUUAAAUUAUUAUCAAUAAUUAUUAAUUGAAUGAAAUUAUUUAUAUUGGAAUACUAUUAAUCAUAUGAACAUAAUUCCUAGCAUAGCAUAUUAAUUUCAGUCUCAGCAAUAGUGCAACGAUUAAGUGAUUUUAACUCACAGAUUUGAUGCGUUCCGCAGUCCGCUCCUACGCCUCGGGUGGAGCUAGCAGGAAGGCUGAAUUAUCUAAUAACAAAAGACAUACAAUUUAUAGACAUUUGAAAAUUUUCCUAAACUUAGACCCUAGAGUAGACUGCCUAGAAUUAAAUUAGACUCGAGGAAUCUGCUGAAAAUUUGGCAAAACCUCCCCUAAAUUACGGAUAUUUAUCCCCCGUAAAACGGGUCCAGGACCUGUCAAAAUACAUCAAACAUACUGAAAUUUAAUAACAGGAGUCGGGCCACAAGAACUACAUUAANNNAGCGCCUACACAAAGCUCGAGUUAUAAGGAGUCCGGAAGUACAAGAGUUUUGGUCGAAAAAUAGCCGGAAGGCAGCGGAUCGGGGCCGAAAAGUUGCUGCUCACGCGACACUCUUCAAGAUUGCCGGUGAGGAUUUUCUAGCGGAAGAGGGCUUUUUCCGAGGUUUUCGGGGAUGAGGAGCUCAUUUCCGGCGUCAGAUCGCUGAAAACACGCUGGCAAGAGGGCGAACGGCGAAGACAACCCCCUUGCUCUUGACGACGCCGAUGGAAAAGGAGGAAAGGGAAGGGGGAGCUGCUGCUGGGUGGCAGAAGGGGAGGAGGGCGCUGGCGACGGCGUGCAGGCGGCAGGGAAGGGUGGGGCUGCCGGAGGGAGAAGGAAGGAAAAGGAGAAGGAGAGGGAGGAAGGAAAGGAGUGAGGGAGGAGGGAAAAGAGAGAGGGGGGGGGGGGUGGGAAAAAUGGGUUUAUAUAUAUAAAUGAACAGUGCUUGUUUAUCAGUGAUAUGAUGCAUAUUAAAAUGAGUUUAAAAUCUUCUUUAUGCAGAUGAUGUUUCUUUUCCGGAAUCCAAAUAGCUUUGAUACCACAAGAUAGAGAUCAACAUGAUUUUAAAAGAUUUUCAAAUUGAUAAAAAGCUUUUACAUGAAGAUUUUUAUUCAAAGAAAAACCAUUCUAAAAAACUUGGGUUUUUUAAGAAUUCUUUACAAGAAAAAUACAGUAUUCAAGAAAGAUACUAUCAAUUUUGCAUUCAAAACAAAGUCCAAAUCAAAUUUUUUGAUUGGUUUCAAAUUUAUUGCAAAGAAAAUAGUAUUCUUUAUCCUUUCAAAGAAAAGCUUAUUAGUCUUGUCACUGUUAGAAACAAGGCUCCAGAGUAGAAAGUCGGAGAAAACCAAACCAUCCAGUCUGAACAUCCUCCCCUUAGGAAGAUAACUAUUCCUUAUGAAGAAAAUAAAAUAGAGGCUACACCUUACAAAUUGGUAGGAGAAGAUCUAGAGAAGAAUGUCAAGAAUAUUGUUCAGCAGAACAAUUUCAUUCUAUCUUAACACAAUAGGGAAACAGCUUGUUAGGAUAGAAAGCCAUAUCCAAAAACCUCCUAUAGUCUUCACCUCUCCAAUCCCCAACACUGAACACCCAAAAGAGAUAAGCCAGUCGGAGAAGCUCAAAAAUCCAGUCUUCAAAUCCUACCAAAUCUCAAAGCCUAGCCAAGAUCAAUUUCAAAAGCAAACUGAGUUUGCUAGAGCAGUCAGAGAACAACUUAGCAAAUUAGCAACUUCUGAGUCUUCCAAAAAUCUAGUGCUAGAUACUCCUCAAAGUAGUAGGAAUAUCAGUGCUAUAGAUCAAGCCCAUUGUGAUAAAUCAAAUGAUUCAGAGCUUGAAAGUGUCAUUGACAAACCCUCCAACAUCAACAGAUUGGGAUGCAAGCCCCUAGAUUGACUUGGCAUACUCCUAGGAAUACUGCCCCAGAUCUAGGAAUAGAAAAUAAGAACAAUAUCCUAACCCAAUCUAGAUUCAAUGCCUCCUCCGUCUAUGAAUGGAAUAUAGAUGGAAUGUCAGAAUACAAUAUCCUUGGUCUCUUGCAACAGAUGACCAUGGCAGCCAAUGCUUACAAAACCCAAAGUGGUACCUCUGAUAAAGCCAUUGCUGAACUCCUUAUAGCUGGAUUUUCUGGCCAGCUUAAAGGAUGGUGGGAUUACCAGCUCCAAAUCCUAGGUGCCAUCCAAACCACAAUAGAAGGGACCCCCAUCUUAGAUGAACUAGGAAAUCCAAUUGAGGAUGUUGUGUCAACCUUAAUCCUAACGAUUUCCCUCCACUUCAUAGGAGACUCUUCUCUUCUGAAAUAUAAGAAUGCUGAGCUCCUUAGCAAUCUAACCUGUAAAAAGCUUAGCAAUUUCCAAGCCUACAAAGACACCUUCCUGACCAGAGUCAUGCUUAGAGAAGAUUCAAGCCAACCUUUCUGGAAAGAGAAAUUCUUAGCCAGUUUACCUAAGAUACUAGGUGAAAGAGUUAGGAAUACCAUAAGAGAAGCCCAUAACGGCCAGAUCCCUUAUGAUUUCUACACUUAUGGUGAAUUAGUGAGCCUUACCCAGAAAGAAGGAUUGAAGAUAUGCCAUGACCUUAAACUUCAAAGGCAACUCAAAUGGAAAAUGAAGAAGACUGGGCAAGAACUAGGUAGUUUUUGUAACCAGUUUGAAUAUAAUCCCAUAGAGCCUCCCCCUACCUGCAAAGAAAAAUGCAAAGAAGAUUUUUCCAAAUCUCUUAAGAAAAAAUAUUUUUUUUCAAAAGUAGAAGGACUCCCAAAUAACAAAGAGAAUUUCUACAAAAAGCCAUCCUCUUCAAAAUUUCCAAAACAAAAUUCCAAAAAAGAUUUUAGCAAAAUUACUUGCUAUAAGUGUGGCAAAAAGGGCCAUACUUCAAAAUAUUGCAAGUUUUCCAAAAAACUCCAUGAGCUCCAAAUAGAAGAUGAAGUUUUAAGCAAAAUUUCAGCUCUUCUUGUUGAUUCCUCUGAAUUAGAAUUUUCAAAUAGUGAGGAAGAGUUUCAAAUUGAUGAAAUCAAAACCUCAUUCGAUUAUUCUGAAUUAGAUUCUGAAGAUAUUUCAAAGAAUAUUAAUAUGCUCACUAGGCAACAAGAAGCUCUUCUUGAAGCCGUCAAGCAUAUUAAUGAUCCCCAAAUCUAAAAACAAGUUUUGAAAGAAAUCCUAAAAACUGAAACCCUUAUCCCCUCUUCUAGUAAGAAUACUUAUGAUCUUACUAUGAUCUUGGAUAAAGGGAAAAAACUAAAAAACCCUCUUUCUACCGUUCAAGAACUUCAGAAAGAAAUCAAAGCUAUCAAAAUUGAGCUCAAAGAUUUGAAAAAAAAAAUAACAAAAUGAUUAUGUUUUACUCCAAAGCCUGAUUCUCAAAUAGAAUAGUGAUUCUGAUUCUGAAGAAGAAAAUGAUUUUCAAAAUCUUGAGGUUUCUGAAAGUGUUCCAGAAAACCUCAUUAAUGUUUUAAAGGAAAUUACCUCAAGAAAAUAUUUGAUUCAAAUAAAACUCAUUUUCCCUGGUCAUUUCCAAAUAGAAACCAUCACUUUAUUUGAUACAGGAGCAGACCUCAAUUGUAUCAAUUAUGAGCUGGUUCCUAAAAGGUAUCAUCAAGAAACUAAAGAGAGGCUUACUUCAGCCAAUAGUUCAAAGAUUAGGAUUGCGGGAAAAACUGAAGCUGCAAUUCUAAAUAAUAAUAUUGCUUUAAAAAAUGUUUUUAUUUUUACAAAAGAUCUUCAGCAAACAGUUAUUUUGGGAACUCCUUUUAGCAAUUUAAUUACUCCUUUUAAAGUAACUACUGCUGGUAUUAUUUUUAAAGCUAAAGAUUCAAUGAUUAUUUUUCCUUUUAUAGAAAAACCCAAAAAGAGAAAUCUCAAUCUUAUUAAAGCCCACUCAAUUUAUAAUUUUGAAAUAAAUGCUUUGAUCAAAGGAAAACAAACCUAGCUUUUCCAUUUGAAACAAGAUAUGGGUUUGAAAAGAAUCCAAAAUCAAAUGCAAAAUGACUUUGUCCAAAGAAAAAUCUCUGAUUUGCAAACGAAGAUUGAAAAUGAAGUUUGUUCUGAUCUUCCUAAUGCUUUUUGGAGACAAAAACAACAUAUGGUAGACUUACCAUAUGAAAAAAAAAUUUCUGAUAAACAAAUCUCAUCCAAAUGAAUGAAACCCUAGAAAGCCGUGGCAGAAUAGAAAUAAAAGAUUUAGAGCAAAAAGGUUUGAUUACCAAAUCUAGAUCCCCCUGGUCAUGUGCAGCUUUCUAUGUCAACAAGAAUAAUGAGAUAGAAAGAGGAACACCUAGGUUGGUGAUUAAUUACAAACCUUUAAAUAAAGCCCUAAAGUGGAUCAGAUACCCAAUUCCAAACAAAAAAUAUCUUCUUCAAAAGCUUCAUUCUGCUUUUAUUUUUUCAAAGUUUGAUAUGAAAUUAGGAUUUUGGCAAAUCCAGAUUUAUCCAAAAGACAGGUACAAAACUGCUUUUACAGUUCCAUUUGGCCAGUACGAAUGGAAUGUAAUGCCCUUCGGAUUAAAAAAUGCUCCUUCUGAAUUUUAAAAAAUCAUGAAUGACAUUUUCAAUCCUUAUUCAAAGUUUUGCAUUGUCUACAUUGAUGAUGUAUUGAUAUUUUCAAAUUCUCUAGAGCAACAUUUCAAACACUUGGAGACAUUUUUUUAUGUUGUUAAGAAAAAUGGUUUAGUGGUUUCAAAAUUCAAGAUAUCUUUAUUUCAAACAAAAAUUAGAUUUCUUGGACACUAUAUCUCCCGGGGAACUAUCACCCCAAUUGAAAGGUCUCUAGCAUUUACUUCAAAGUUUUCAGACAAAAUUUUAGAAAAAACACAAUUACAAAUAUUCCUUGGUAGUUUAAAUUAUGUAAUGGAUUUUUAUCCAAACUUGAACUGUAUUGCAAAGCCCCUUCAUGAUAGGUUAAAGAAAAACCCCCCUGUAUGGACCGAUGAGCACACAAAGACUGUCCAAAGCAUAAAAAAGCAAGUUUCUGAAAUACCAUGUUUACACCUAGCUGAUCCAUCUGCAUUCAAAAUUGUUGAAACUGAUGCAUCAAAUCUAGGAUAUGGUGGGAUUCUUAAGCAAGUCCAAAACAACAAAGAAUGUAUUGUCCAGUUUACUUCUGCACACUGGAAUGAUACACAAAAAAAUUAUUCAACUAUCUAAAAAGAAAUUCUUUCGAUAGUUUUGUGCAUUUCAAAAUUUCAAAGCGAUCUUUUAAACCAAAAAUUUCUUUUAAGGAUUGAUUGUAAAUCUGCUAAAGAAGUUUUACAAAAAGAUGUUCAAAACAUAGCUUCAAAAUAAAUUUUUGCCAGAUGGCAAGCCAUUCUUUCUGUUUUUGACUUUGAAAUCGAAUACAUAAGAGGAGAUUCGAAUUCAAUUCCAGACUUUCUAACUAGAGAGUUUCUUCAAAAACAUGAGUGAAAAUGCCAAGAAAAUCAAAAGCAAAAAAAGAAAAAUCGACAGCAAGUUCAAAGCCUGUCCAAAGUCCAAAGAAGGAAAUUUUUCCUUCUUCUUCAAAGCCCAUCAGAACCUGGACCGAAAUCAUCCAGGAAGAAAUUGACCAAAGCAAGGUCGAUCCGGCCCAACAACAGUUACAAAUUCAGGAAUGGUUUGCACAACAAGAUCCUGAAUUCCUGAAAAGGGUCGAAGAAUAUUCAAAGCAGUUGAUACAACUUCAACCCGAAGCAUCUCCAAAGUCAUCCUCCUCUUCCAACAAGGGUAAAGGUAUACUUUCUAUCCCUUUUUCAAAACCUGAGAUAGAAAUUUUUUCUCAAAACCUAUCUCAGAGCUCUAAAAGUAUUUUAAAGCCCAACUCUCAACAAAUAAUUUUGUCACAAACAAAACUUUUUAAAUCCAACGAAUAUAUAGAAAAGCAAAAUUAUUAAAAUAUUUUGACUAUUGAGGAAGGAUUCUGUACAGAAAGCCCCUCAAAACUCAUUUCAAAGAUUUUCCCUCCAGGAUGGUAUUUCAAGCCCUGGAAUAUUUCAAAGCCUCAAUUCUACUACCAGUCUAUCCUUGAGGUAACUGGUUUUGCAAAGUUUAAACACUUCAAAAAAUACAAAGACCAUAAAGACCCUGCAUAUUCCACAUGCACCAUACAAAGAAUCCUUCACCCUACAGAUUGGGGAAUGGAUUUACACUCUUCAAGAUCUUUCCCAACUUCCCUCCAAAGAACCUACCCAUCAAGCCUAAACACUUCCUUCAACUAUUGGGAUUACCAACAAGCUUGGUUUAAUACCUUUCUUCUUCAAAACGAAGGAAAAAGCCAUUCUUGACUUUUCUACUUCGAUACAAGCUCAAUCCAAACUUCAAAGAUCCCCUAUUGGUUUAAACAAUGGUGGAAUUUUUAUGGCAAUGUUCCUGAGACCAUAAUUCCAGAAGUUCUACCUCUGUUUAACCUUUUCAAAGCCCACUACAAACCAAACAAAAUAGAAAGACGUUUUCCCCCGUUAUUUCUAUUUUGUUCAAACUUUUUUCUCCCUUGUGUAUGUGUUUGGUAUUUCCAUUUCAAUCAAGUAGCAGAUGGAGAAAUCAUCCUUACCCGAAGGUUCAAAGUCAAAUGGUGGGAUAAAUUUAACCACCAAGAAAAAUUAUCACUAAAGUUGGUACAAAGUUUCCUUUCAAAAAAUAGCUUCUUGUCACCUUCGAAAGAACAAACCACUUUCUUGGCACAGAAGUCCUUCAUAAUUCCAAAGCUAACAGCGGCUCAGACAGAAGAGGAUUUCUUACAGUUGAUCAAACAAUUGUCGGAAACCGCCUCUUCCAAAGGAAAAUCAAAAGCCUCAUCUUCCUCUUCCAGCACCAGCUCGGCAGUAAUAGACCUAGAUGGUGACUCAAACGAAGAUGACUGUUUUAGGAUUUUCAAGCCCAUUAAAUGACACCUAUGUAAAGCCCUUGGGUUGAAAACUAGAAAUAGCAGCCCAAAAUAUUUAUGUAAUGGGCCAAAAGCCCAAAAUAAAAUUAAAAAAAAAAAGAAGAAGAAAGAAGACAAAAGAAAAGCAAAAGAUUCUUUUUCAAAGCAUGGCCGACAACUUCCACAAAAGGAGUGAAGCAUCUUACUCCAUUAUCACAAGACUACAAGAAGAAGUGGAGCCCCCCUUUAUUCCACUAAGUAGAGCAUCCAAAGCUUCAAGAAGAGCAUCCAAAGCUUCAAGACCUCUAUAAAUAGAGGAGUUUCCCUUAGAAGAGAGCAGACUGAAAAAUACAAAGAACCUCUUGUAUUCUUCAAGUCACACAAAGAAAAAAUAUAGUGAGAAAAGAGAGAGUAUAGUGUGAGAGUUAUAUUGAGAAGAAACAUUUUCCUCUUAUAUUCAAUUUCUCCUCUUGUAAGUUAUAUUUCUCUAGUUUAAAGCUUUCAUUUUAAAGCUUUUUCCAAAGUUUGUAUAUUUGUUCAAAGUUUAUCAAUAAAUUUUUAUCUUCUUAUCUACAAUUUUUAAGAUUUAACAAGCGUAUGCUCUAUGCUUGCCUCGUCUGAGGAUCCUGCACACCAGAAACUUGUUGAUCUAUUUCUGGUAUAUUUCUCUAUCUUGUUAUCAGAGCCAUUUGGAUUUCGGGAAAGAAACAUCAUCUGCAUAAAGAAGAUUUUAAACUCAUUUUAAUCUGCAUUAUAUCACUGAUAAACAAGCACUGAUAAGUAAGUCCCGUCAGGUGUAAGGGCAAUAAAACUGGUGGCUUGGUUCAUGUUUGUUUAGAAAGUUAUUUUGGUUUAUUUUAAAAUGAAUUUAGAACCAUUUUUCUGUAGAUCUUCUUCUUUCUCAAACUCUUCUACCUCUGAAUCUUCAAGGUACAAAGAUUUAGUAAAUAGUAAAGAAAUCACUAUUGAAGAUUUUACAAAGCAUAUUGAUGAUUAGGAAAUACCCAAAGUUCAAAAGAAACAAAUUUAUGAGUAUUCAAAGUUUUCUCUCUUCAAAACUGAAGAAAGAGAUAUUCAGAUUUCAAAGCCUUUUGAAGAAAUUUAUCUUUUAAAUCCAAAGACCCUCCAUAAGCAUAAAGAAAAAGAUUAUAAGUAUAUCCAUAUAGGCCUUGUUCAGGUAGGAAGCCCCUUAUCAGAGAAGGUUUAGAUACUUCCAUCUUAGUAGUCCUUAGAGAUGCUAGGUUUACAAAUUUUUAUGAUUUUUUAUUAGGUACUGUCGAGUCGAGCAUCAAUAAAGGACCAAUUUCUUUCAAUUGUUUUCCAAACAUCAUAAUUUCAUUAAAUGAUAAAAAUGUUUUAAAGAACAUUGUUCUGCAAAUAAAGACACAUAAUUACAAAAUGCUUGAAGGAUCUAUUCCGAUAGCAUUGAUUUUUAAAAUACAUUAUAAAGCCAUGAUUUCUGCUUUUGGUUCAAAACACAAGCUCCAUUCACCAAAAGGAGAAACCUUAUUCCUACAAACAGAUCUCUUCAAAUCCAAUGCAACAAUUCCAAAAACCAUUCAAUGGAAAGACAUCACUCUUCCAGAAGAAUGGAUCCUUGAAGGUGCAACUCAACCUGAAUCACCAAAGUAAACAGAACCAAAUACAAAUCUCAAAAAUAUAACCCAAUUUCCAGAUGGAAAAGUAAAGCUCACGUUCAACAGAAAAUCAACCUCUUCUAGAUUUUCUGAUGAUGAUUCUUCAACAUCGACCAUAGAUAUUGGAAGGGUAUCAAAAAUUCCUUCUAUUAUCUAUGCUCCUUACAAAGAACCAACUCCAUCUCAAACACAACCCAGAUUUUCAACAUCUGAUAUACCAAGCUCAAACAAUAUACUACAGAAUGUUGAUUACCAAAGCAAUAUCCCCAGACCAAUCUACAAUGAACCAAAGAAAGAAGAUGAGGAUAUAGAGAUCGUCUCUACCCCCUCUUCACCAUAUCCAUCUGCUAUAUAUAUAUAAAUUAUUGUCAUAAUAAAUAAGAGUAUUACAGUGUUAGAAUUCGAAUCCGGAAGCACCUAUACGAAGCUUUUAGUUGUGGGGAGUCCGAAAAUGCAAAAGCUUUGGCCGGAAACUCGCCGGAAGCCACUGGAUUGAGGCCGGAAAGGCGCUGCUUCGGUGAGGCUUCACCGAGGCUUCAAGUGAUGAAAAACAGCAGGGGAAGCUCGGCUUAGGGGUUUUCGAUGAUGAGGAGCUUGUUUCCGGCAUUGGCUUUGCGAGGGGAGGGCGGUAGGUGGCUAGUUCGAAGGCGGUAGCUCCCUCUCUUCCGUGUUGACAUCGGUAGCGAUGAGGAAGGGAGGAAAAAGAGAACGACGCGGUGAGAGAGGGGAAGGAAGGAGGAGACAGUGGCAGCAACAGAAAGUGGGAGGUGGCAGCAGCUUGAAGGCGACGAGGGAGAAAGUAAGAAGAAGGAGAAGAGAAGAGAAAGGGGGGGGGGGGGGAAGGGGGGGGGGGAGUGAAUGGAUAUGGAAUUCCUGUAGACACGAACCCUACACCCAAGGCUGUCAAAAGCUAUUACAAAAAAAUCUGUCAAAGGACCACAUGUUAGGUCCACACAUAUAUUAACAAGACAACAACCAUAACAAACAUUAUUAAUUAGGGUUUCAAAAAUAAAAAAAUAAUUGUUUGUUAGGUCUUCUUCAUCUAAGUCUUCUUUUCAUUCCUAAUUCCUUUGUUCUCUGUAUUUUCUGGAGGCACCUAAGCUCUCUUCUUUGUUGAAACACUUCCAUCAAUCUUUUUUUUUUCCUUUGUAUUGAAGCUUUGUUGUUGUGCCAACUCCUUUCUUACUUAUUGCAGCACUUCCUUCAGUCUCAACCUCUUUUCUCAACAAUUUUGGGGGUUUAAAAGUAUUUUUUUUUCCUUACAUUCAAUUGCUGGCUUUUUUGCACUUCAUCUUUUCUUUGUCUGUGAAAGUCUUUCAAUGCCCAUAUCUGGUGGUAGCUCACUCAACAUAUCNNNGGGGGGGGGGGGAAACAGAAGAAAUUCUUAAGAAAAAAAUUCUUUUCUUCUUCUUUUUUAUUUUAUUUAUAUAUAAUAAUAUAAUAUAAUAUUAUUUAUUUAUUAUACUAAGGUAUUACAGUGUCAUACCAAAUCUAUCUAAAAAGGUACGAAUAAAUCUUUUACGUUAUAUUCUCUGUUUCAUAUUAACUAUUAUUUUUUAGCACUUCACUUAAAUUAAAAAAUAUUUAAUAAGUUUAAUUAUAUAUAAAAAAUUAAUUAUAUUAUAUUAAAUUAUUUAUUAUAAAUAUUAUAAAAUUUGUUAUAUCUAUUCUAAUAUAGAAAUAUAAUUAAAAAAAUUUGAUAUUCUAUAGAUAAAUAAAAAAAUUUAUUCUAAAAACUAAAUAAUAUAAAAUGAGGGAGUAGUCUAUAUCUCAUAUGGCAAUUGAUUGGAUGGGACCAAGUGAAAUCAUGUAUUCGUUCUUCAAGCUUUCUGCUCAUCGGUGUCUCUAGUAGCACUCAGAAACAUAUCGCUAGUAUCUUUUAGGUAGGCCCUGUUUGGUGGAUUAAUGAAUGCCACUAGUAGUGGAUAGUUGAUAAUUUAGUCAUUCGUAGCUUAUAAGUUAAAUUAUGUUUUAAAUUUUAUUAAUAAUUACUAUUAAUAUAUAUUAAAUAAUUAUUGUAAAUAUAAUUUAUUUUUAGAUAUUUUAUUAUAUAUUUUUUUAAUUAUAUUCAUUAAUAAAAAUAGCUUAUAAUAAAUAAGAAUAUUAUAAUUCAUUUUAUUUAGUUUAAUUGUAUUUAUUAUUAAAAUAUUUAGUAAAAAUAUUUUAAAAUAGUAAUUAAGAUUUAAAUUUUAUUAAUAAACUACAAAUAUUAUAAUUAUUUUAAACAUUAAGUAUAAUUUUAAAUAAUAAUUAUUUAAUAUAAAUUAUAAAAUUAAUUAUAUAAAAUUAAUAUAAAAUAAAUAUUAUUAAUAAAAAAAUAAUAUUGUUCUCAAAUUAAUUAUUGACUUAUUAAAAAAGCUUUUGAUUAAUUGAGACUGAAUCAACUAACUUUUAAAUUCUACUAAAUAAAUGUAAUAUAGUUGUUGAAUUAUACUAAAUUUUUAAAUUAAACACCUGCUUAACAAGUCAUGUAUUAGCAAAAAGCUUUUCUUGAAAAUAAAAAAUAAAAUAGCAUUUUGUUAAGGAAAUCUGAAUUAGCUAAUGUAUUUGAAAUUAUUAUUAGAUCUAAAAGAAUUAGAUUUAAAUUUAUUUUUUAUUUAAUAAUAUUAUUUUUUAAUUUCAUUAAUUGCUUUCGUUAAAUUUUUUUUUCUUGAAAAGCAUUAAAAUAAGAGAUAUUCACUCAACAUGAAUAACUAUUGUUUAUUUAAAAAUUAAAGAAAUUGAAUAAAUGUAGAGAAUUCAACAAAUAAACCCUAACUCUAGUUUAGAAAAUUUAGUUUAUUGGUAAAGAAAAUUAAACAAACUAAAAUUACAGAAUAAACAUGGCAAAAAAUAUAGAAACGAAUAAAAGAAAGAAAAAGAGGUUAGGGAACAAAAAUUCUAAAGCUGAUUUCUUCUCGCGGUAAACUUCUUUGCUUCUUCCUAUUUUCCUUUCUCCUCUUUAUGAUUUUAUAUGCAAAAAUUAUCAGUUUUAGUAUUUUUGUAUACUAAUAAGUGGGUAGGGAAAUUUUUAUCCUUUUGCUGUGAAAACAGUAAGGGUGAAAUGACAAUUUUCUCUUUAUUUUUCAAUAAAUAAUAUCAUUGUUCGGCAAGAUUUUAAUGAUAAGGUCCACAUAAUUUAGUGCAUGGUCCGAUCCUGCAUUAUCUCAUCUGUUCUAAUUAAUUGGGCCGACCCCUUACCUCUUAUCCUUUUAUAGUCACAGCCACAGCAAUAAUAACCAGGACUUGAUUCUUUUUCUCUCAAUAUUAUUUUAUUUUAUGUAUUUUAUUAAAUCAUAUCUAAUAUUGAUAAAUAUAUUAUCUUUUGAGAUGGUGCGGUCCAUAAUAAUUAUGAUAUGUAAAUUUGAUAAAUAUAUUAUCUUUUGAGGUGGUACAAUCUAGAAUAAUAUGAUAUAUGAAUUAAUUAAAAAUAUUUUAUUUGAAAUGCUAUAUCAAUAAAAAUGGAUCGAAAAAGUUAAAAAUAUCAUAACUAAAAUAUAAAUAUAAAUAUUUCUAUACAAAAAAAUUAAAAUAUCAAUAUUAAUUAACUAAAAUCUAAAAUUUAGUCCUUAACAAAUAACGCAUAAAUUUAUCGAGCAUAUUAGCCAUAUUAUGAAGGAGUUAAUAAAUGUCCUAAAAAUAUUUCUAGUGGUGCUUUUUAUUUUAAAAAUAGAAUUUCUAUAAUAAAGAUCAUUUUAAGAAAUAUUCACUAAUAAAAAGUAAAAUAUUUUAUUUAAGUUCGGUAGAUUUUUUAUAUUCUGUUUUAUAUUAUGCUUUUUAUUCCAUAAGCAUUAAUAAUUUUAAUUUCUCUUUCUUUCUUUUUAAAAAUUUUUACCAAUAGAAAAAUAAGAAUUUUAAAUCAAUUAAAUUAUAUGCAUUGAAAUUUGUAAUACAUUUAUUAAAUAUAGAAUAAAGAGACUCUAUAUGUAGAGAGCCAAAUUAUGAAGAAAAUUAAAUGAGCUUCAUUUCAUUCAUUUAUCAUCAAAAUACAUAAGUAAUAGUAGUUAUAAAAACUAAUGGGUUUCUAAAAUACACCCCACCACCUAUCCAAAGUACAUCUUCAAAUUAAGCAAAUAAAAGUACAUCUUCUAAAUUAGAAUCCCAACCACAGCAUAAAAACUAAGCUUAUAUAGGUGCCUACUGCGCUUCAUACUCCCUUUUUCUUCUUUCAUUUUCUUCAGCUUUGAAUUUAGCAAACUAACUCCAUUUUUAUGCACAUUCAGCAGCUCACUUGUAAUGUCAGAUUCACCAGUGUCCAUUCUUAACUUAACUCUCGCAACGUCACCAAUGUCCUCUUAUUAACCCAUAUGUAGUGUUAGUUAAAAAAAAUGACAGCUGAAGAACCUGUACAAGAACAAACCUUCAUUACAACAAAAAAUAUAUCAAUGUAAACUAAGGAAAACACUCUUAUACUUACUAUAAAUUAGUAUCUCCAAAACUUACGACUGAGUUUCCUUUCAGUUCGAGAGACGAACAUUUUUGCAGGCAUUCCACAUGCACAGAUAGAAUUCUCAACUCCAAAAAUAUAUUUCUCCGAGUUAAGCACACUUUUAGCUGUUUUCUUGCUAUAAAAUUUUAAUUUGUUUCAUUUUGGUGCCCCUCGUAUUAUUUCUGUUACUUCCGCCAGUACCAAUGAGGAUUCCGACAGUUAUUUAAUGAUGUAGCUGCCAGAUUUACAAAAGACUACAGAUCUGUUGCAACAUGUGUUGCUGACUCCUUUAUUUUAUCCUAGUCAGCAAAUAAAUAACCCUAAAAUAUUGGAGAAUUAUGGCAUUAUACCUUGAGCUAACCAUUUUGUCUCCAUUAUACCCAAGAGUAACUGCUUUACCUUAGAAAUCAACGAAAAAUGUUAUACUUCCAUCUUCAUUGUCAACACUCUUUGAGCUUCCACUUCAUAGUUUCCUUACACAACUGUAGCUGCACAUUGCGAGAUUGGGGAGCAAUGUCACUUGACUGGCGAGUAAGAGCGAAACGCGAAGACACACUAGAUUACUAUAAGUACAUGCACCUGUAUUUAUCAUAUGGUUAUUGAAAGAACUGAAGUUCUUUUCAUGUUAAAUUCGCAUCUUUGUAUGCGUAUUGCAUGCUGUAUUAUUUUGGAAGUUAAUAAUACAAGGGGCUAGGGUUUUCUCAUUACUUGCUAUUGGGAAGAAAUCCUUUUUAUCGAUUGAAUGUUGAUGAUGUUUAUUAAUACUGCUUCUGUUAAAGUAAUUAAUGUAUGUUUAAUUAAUUUAAUGUAAUUGUAUUUUACAGUGCCUAAUUCCGAGUACUUUAGUUUGUAUUGGCAUGAUUAUGGAGUUGAUGGUAGAGGUCAACCUAAGCUAUGGAAUGUGGGAGCUGUUGAUUCUUGUAGUUGAGAUAAUAUGUCUAGGUUAGAAAUAGAUUCAUUGGCUAGAAAGCUAGGAAUGACACCUAAAAAAAAAAUUAUUAUGUGGAAGCAUCCGAAGAAGAGUAUGAAUGUUGGAUUGAGAAGUCUUGAAACUGAUAGUGAUGCUUCAGAAAUGGCAAUGUCUGUGGAGGAUUGUAAAAUGAAGCAUAUUUUUAGUAGGGAUAAGUUUGAAGGAAUAGAAGAAGUUGAGAAAGAAGUUGGAAAACCAUAUACUAGUGAAGAGGUUGUAAGAAAUAUGUCUGAGAUGGAAGGAGAGGAACCACAAAAUGAACAAAAUAUUGAUGAUGACAGCUGUGAGAGUAAUGAGCAUAGUGAUGCAGAUUGAGAGGACAAUGAGUUUGUGAACUCCGAUUAUGACCUCAGGGAUGAAAAUGUUAAUGAUGAUGCCAUGUUUGAUAAGUUUGUUGAUAAGGAGCUUGAGAGGGACAAACCAUCUGGAUCUGGUAGUGCUAGGCAACCUGCUGAGAAGUUGUGUGAAGAUUCAGAUGCGACAUUAUAUGCUCCAUCAGAUGAGCUGCUGUGAUGCUUUUCAACUGAAGACAAUGAUGCAGAUUCAAGAAAGCACAGAUGGCUUGAGUUUAAUGAGGAGACUGAUAUGACGAACCCCAGCUUCAAGAUUGGAAUGCUAUUCAAUUACUUCAAACAGUUCAAGAAUGCAGUUAAGAGCUCAUCAAUCAAAACUAGGAACCAGGUAAUAUUUGGACUAAAUACAUGGCAGAAAUGCAAGCUAAGUGCAAGAAAAGAUGCCAGUUCUUCAUUUCGGCUUACUUGAUGAAUACAAACAAACAAACAGUGCAGAUCAAGUCAGCUUGUUUGACUCACGACUAUUCAAGAGAGGUAUAUAAUAAGCAUGUUAAUGCCAAAUGGGUAGUUGACUAUUAUGUUGAAAGGUUCAGAGCUGAUCCCACUUGGGCAAUUCAAGGGAUUAUACAAGUUGUGAAAGAAGACUGUGGUAUUGAUGUGUUCAAAGUUAAAGCAUUGAGAGCAAGAAUUGCUGCUUUAAAAUUUAUCAAUGGUGAUGAGACAUAACAACUAUCUAGACUUCAUGAUUACAAGCUAGAACUGUUGAGAAAUAAUCCAGGAAGCACUAUGAUUUUUGGAGUUACUGACUAAAGAUUUGGAGAUAUCAAAUAGUUAUUAUUGGGUGUUCAUGACUGACAAGCAAAAGGUAAAUAGUCUUCACAUUUUCCUUUUCUAGUCCUUAUAUAUAUAUGGUAUUAAUUAUGUGUUGUGAUUUGGAAUAAGGUCUUAUUCCUGCCAUUGAAGAACUAUUCCCUAAUUCUAAACAUAGAUUUUGUGUUAGACAUGUGCAUAAUAAUUUUAAAAAGAAAUUUAAUAGUCUAGGACUAAAAGAACUUAUGUGGGAUGUUGCUAGGGCAAGUUAUGUCUAGUUAUUUGAAAAGAUAAUGGACAAGUUUGCAUCAAAAUCAAAACAAGGACACUACAUGAAUAGCAUACCCUGUCAUCAUUGGUCUAAAUCUCAUUUUAGGAUUGAUGCUAAGUGUGACAUGUUGUUAAACAACUUAUGUGAGUGUUUUAACAAUUUUAUCUUAGAUACUAGAACUAAGGAUGUGAUAGCUAUGAAUGAGGUUAUAAGAACAAAAUUAAUGAAGAGGAUACAUAAGAAAAGGGAUGAUAUGAAAAGAGUGGCCUCUGCUUACUGCUUUAAGAUCUUGAAAAAAAAUAGAAAAGGUAAGAGAAUUUUGCUGGAUGUUUAGAACAUAGUAGUUUAGGGGUGAGAGGUUUCAAGUGGUUGGGCCAGGGGGACAAUUUGUAGUUGACAAACAGGAAAUGAGAUGCACAUGUAGGAGGUGGUAUCUAACUGGUAUACAUUGUUGUCAUGCUGUAUGUGCAAUUUGAUAUAAUAAUGAAAAUCCUGAAUUUUAUACACAUGACUAUUACAAGGUCGAAACAUACCUAAAAUGCUAUAGCCAUUUUCUUGACCCAACUACCAGUAAAGAAUUUUGACCCAAGGCAACUGUCCCAUCAGUUCUACCCUCCAAACCAAUCAAAAAUAGAAAAGGCAGGCCUGCUACAAAGAGAAGGUUAGAGGAAGAAGAGAUGGAAGCUCUAACAAAAAAUGGAAAGAUCACCAAGAAGGGCUCUGUGAUGACAUGCAUAAUUUGUGGUGUUAAAGGCCAAAACAAGAGGUUUCAUGGUGAUGGUGCUUCUACAAGGCAAUAACAGAGGAGGGAAAAACUGUAUAUAAGUAUUCAAUUCUUCUUAUUUACUUCUGCCUGCAAUAAAUGUCAUAUAAACUAAUGUGAAAAUUUUAUACUAUGUGAUGAGGAAGACAAAAAAAAUAGCAAAAGAAAAAGGAAUUCAAUGGUGAAAGUAGUGCACAGAAUGUAAGCUACUAAUAUACUGCAUGUAAAUAUUUUUGUUCUGGUUUACCAACCUUAUGAGUUGUACUUACAGGUGCAAAGUGCUGCUGCCACUUGUUUUGAUACACAUGAAGAUCAUCAUGAAGCUUCAAAUGUGUUUGAAACACAUGAAGAUGAUCACCCAGCUUCAAAUGUGUUUGAUAUUGACAAACUUGAACAUGAAGAUGACCAUGGAGUUCCUACAGGCACCGCUUCAAAAUUUGAUAAUCUGUCACCAUUAAUACCAUUAUCUCAGGUAAGUAAUCAUUCACCUAUAAUAUUUAGUUCAGUAAUGUAAAAUAGCGUUAUGCUAACUUGAGAUUUUAUUAUACAGUUAUUUAAUAUAACACCAUCAGCAAUACAAGCAAGAACAGCUGUAGUUAAGCUUGGCAUACCAUCUUAUUUAGUUGAUUUUCAGGAUUAUGCUUCACAACGGAAAUCACAUUUACAGUCUAUCACAUCACCUUUAAUAACUACCACCAAAAAGACUAAGAGCAUUACUGAUAUGUUGAGUGAGCUACCACCAGAUAUGGGCAUUGAAAGACUUUCACAGACAAAGAAAAGAUGAAGUGCAAAAAAGCCAGCAAUUGAAUGUAAGGAAAAAAAAAUACUUUUAAACCCCCAAAAUUGUUGAGAAAAGAGGUUGAGACUGAAGGAAGUGCUGCAAUAAGUAAGAAAGGAGUUGGCACAACAACAAAGCUUCAAUACAAAGGAAAAAAAAAAGAUUGAUGGAAGUGUUUCAACAAAGAAGAGAGCUUAGGUGCCUCCAGAAAAUACAGAGAACAAAGGAAUUAGGAAUGAAAAGAAGACUUAGAUGAAGAAGACCUAACAAACAAUUAUUUUUUUAUUUUUGAAACCCUAAUUAAUAAUGUUUGUUAUGGUUGUUGUCUUGUUAAUAUAUGUGUGGACCUAACAUGUGGUCCUUUGACAGAUUUUUUUGUAAUAGCUUUUGACAGCCUUGGGUGUAGGGUUCGUGUCUACAGGAAUUCCAUAUCCAUUCACUUUUUGUUCAAAUAAUUUAUUAUUUAAAGUAAUCAACAGCCUCAGUUAUUUAAAUGACAAUAUGUUAUUACUUAUUUUUUAAAUUGUCACUCAACUUGUAUGUUUCCUAGCUUGCUUUAUAUAACAAUUUGCUGUGCUUAUUUAUCAUAACACAGGAAAAACCAAAUGAAAGGAAUCUAUGAAGAAAAUUAAAUGAGCUUCAUUUCAUUCAUUUAUCAUCAAAAUACAUAAGUAAUAGUAGUUAUAAAAACUAAUGGGUUUCUAAAAUACACCCCACCACCUAUCCAAAGUACAUCUUCAAAUUAAGUAAAUAAAAGUACAUCUUCUAAAUUAGAAUCCCAACCACAGCAUAAAAACUAAGCUUAUAUAGGUGCCUACUGCGCUUCAUACUCCCUUUUUCUUCUUUCAUUUUCUUCAGCUUUGAAUUUAGCAAACUAACUCCAUUUUUAUGCACAUUCAGCAGCUCACUUGUAAUGUCAGAUUCACCAGUGUCCAUUCUUAACUUAACUCUCGCAACGUCACCAAUGUCCUCUCAUUCACCAGUGUUAGUUAAGAAAAUGACAGCUGAAGAACCUGUACAAGAACAAACCUUCAUUACAACAAAAAAUAUAUCAAUGUAAACUAAGGAAAACACUCUUAUACUUACUAUAAAUUAGUAUCUCCAAAACUUACGACUGAGUUUCCUUUCAGUUCGAGAGAUGAACAUUUUUGCAGGCAUUCCACAUGCACAGAUAGAAUUCUCAACUCCAAAAAUAUAUUUCUCCGAGUUAAGCACACUUUUAGCUGUUUUCUUGCUCCAUUUUUUGUGAAAAGAUAAAGAACACUGAAUCUUCAUAAUUGAUUAUGAGAGAAAGGAAAACAUGGAGUAAUUGGGAAUACUAAGAAUUAGGAUUUGAAAUUAAAUAUUUUUCUGAUUUAGGGUUAUUUAUUUGGGGAUGGGAGGUUAUUUAUUUACUGACUAGGAUAAAAUAAAAGAGUCAGCAACAUAUGUGGCAACACAUCCCGGCAGCCACAUCAUUAAAUAAUUGCUGUAAUCCUCAUUGAUACUGGCGGAAGUAACAAAAAUAAUAUGAGGGGUACCAAAAUGAAACAAAUUGAAGAUUUGGUAUUAAAUAUAUAUAAGUGGCUAAAGUUUGAUACCGGCAGAGCAUUUUAACCUAGAUGUUCUAAAUAUCUUCCUAAACAAGAAAACCCUAUACAUAAUAUCUAAAUUACUUGAUAUAAGGACUUAAAAGUAAUAAAUUUAUAAAUUUAAGAAUUGAAUUAUAAUUACUGAACUUUAAGGAAGAAAAAUGAGGGAAGCAUUUAGAUGGCAGAUGACUUCUUCUUCUUCUUCUCCUUUCUGUCAUUAUUGGUAGCCGCUAAAUGAGGAAAAGAGAGAGGCCGAGAGCUUGGCUGGAGGAAGAACUGGUGCCGGCGAAUCUUCUAGUGGGCGAUGACUACUACUAGCAGUUGACUCCUAUCUUUAUAGGAAACUUUUUUUAUGGUGGCAUUGUGGUCUAUAUUGCUAAACAUAACAAGUGGCAAUGGAGGGAGAGAAUCAGAGGCUGAUUGUUUUUUCUCGAUUUCCAUCUCAAUUGGGAAAUGGAUGAUCCGACCACAUCAACACACACCACUCUUCACAAGCUUUCUAGCAAACUCAGCCCUACGAAGAUCAGACUCCACUAAAAGUCUGACAUCCGGAAAUGAUUAAUGACUCAACUAUCAACGGGUGACUCCAACUAAAAAUCAGGCAUCAUAACUAGAUGAAGAAACUAUAUACUUAUUUAAUGAUCAUAUGGUCACAUCGUUGGUAUUAAAUAGGAUUUACGUCUUUGGCUACUACAUAGUUUUUGAAACAUAGAGUUGUGCUAAUCCUCAUUGUACCAACUGAGCAAGAAAGAAAGUAAUUAGAUUUACAAAAAGCAACAGAAAAGAAAAUGUCUCCUUACCUUUUGUUGAAGUAGAACGAAAGUGUAUAUUUCAAAAAAAUAAAUAGAAAGAAAGUAUACUUUAUCUUCUCGUAUGUCUUGUCAUCAUUAUUGGGUUCCGAAAAUUCAAUUUCAAAAGGAGAAAUCUUGUACUACGAAUUUAGUUUUGUUACACUAAAAUAAUUAGCCCAUAUUUAACGAAACUAAACAUCAUGUGCUGCCUUCAAUGGAAUAAUAGUCAAUAUCCCAUUGUGGGUAUAAUAGGAUCAUCAGGCUGCAGGAAAUUCGUUGUAUGGAUUGCCCAGUGCAGCAACAUUGCCAGGCCUCGACAGAACAACCUACACGUUAUACAAUGAAAUAAAUUAAGAGAGCGCAGUAACAGAGCUUUAAAACUGAAACUGUGGCUCAAGGCUUGAAGUACCUGAUAGUUUCCAAGUGUGAGUGUCUUGAACCCAGCUGCACAAUAAUCAAAAUAAUACUCCCAUGUUCUGAUGAACUUUUCAUUGAAUCCCAGAGCCGUAAUUUUGCUGCCAAGAAAUUAACGCACAGGCAUUGAUUUAAAAGGAAAAGAGAAAAAUAAACUAAGGCUGUUAAAGUCUCAAAAAAGUAUUUACCUCUUGCUCUCCAAGAAAUUCUUUCUCCACAGUCUGAGUGUUUGAUAGUAAUGCAUUCCAAUAUUCUCUACAUGCUCCACACUUUCGAUCCAAGAAAGAAUAGUAAAUUUAAUUUAUAGAUUAAGAAAAAUGGAAUAAUUCAUCAAUAAAUCAAAUUGAGCUGAAACUGAAAUUUGUCAUACCAGAGUCUUGUUGAAGCAGCCAUGGCUAUUGUUAUUCUUGUUAAUGAUGGCACACAUGUACCUGGGAAUAUAUACUCCUUGAUAACGUCUGAACUUCGCCUGUACUCCUCGUACCGUUCUUCUGGUAUUGAUGUGAACUGAUGGCACUCUUAAACAUUAAACUGACAUAGAGAAAGGAAUUCUUUUGUUUCUUCUCAUUUUCUAAUUAGUUGUUACCUGUAGAACAAUAAGACCAUCAUCUGCUAAUACUGAUUCACAGCAGCCAAAAUACUCCUCCAUGUAUUCAUGUCCAACAGCUUCUAGCAUUUCACUGAACAAGACCAGUAAAAGUCAUGUAAUUUGUUCAGCAUUCUCUACUCGGAUGCCAAUUUUGGAAAGGGACAAGCUUACCAUGAUAUGAUUCUGUCACAUUUGUAGGUAUCAGGCAAUUGGCGAUAGUCACAAAGUUGAAAUCUGAUAUUUUCCUGAUAUCAUCAUUGGCUAAGGUUAAAACCCAUGACUUUUGGCGAUUUUUCUAAUACCAUGAUAUGCUCUAAUGCAAGAUGUUCUUAAGUGCAAUUUGGACAGACCUUGUUACGCUUAAAUCUCAAAGGAGCUAAGGAAUAAAUGCAUUUAGGAAAGUUGCAAUUAUUCUUUGAGUUCAUACCUGGAGACCAGCUUGCUUCACUCUUUCUUCUGCAAAUUUUAGUUGCUCCUCCGAUAGAGUGAUACCAGUAUAUUUACAUCCAGUUCGUUUGACAACCUCGAUAGCUAAUGUUCCCCAACCACAACCAAUCUCAAGAACUUCAUGUUCCUUAUUGAUUCUUGCCUGGAUUGAUUAAAAAAAAAUGAACAUACGAAUUGAAUAGUGCAUGUCAGUAAUUGUAACUUUUCCAAAAUGGUCAAGCAACAGGAUCACUCACUUUUUCAAUCAGAAGUGAAAUUUUUCUCAUCUGUGCAGAUUUCAAGUCUUCAUCUUCCGUCUUUAAAGUAGCUCGGAAAAAAAAAAGAAGAAUAUAUCACAAGUUGAAAUCAUGCACUGUGUAAAAUUAUCAGAAUUCACAAGGUUGACUUCUGACCUUAAAUACUGCACAGGAAUAUGUCAUUGUUUCAUCCAAGAACAUAGAAAACAUCUCAUUACUCUACAGAUACAAAACAAGACAAGGAACAUAAGCUUUUCAUCAGAAUUUCUGAAACUAAAAUGGAGUACCGCUUUCAUGAAGACAUGCACAUAUGCACUUGCUUUAUAAAAUUGUUG
rnacentral:lncRNA from 1 species